UGGGGAAUCUUGGACAAUGGGGGCAACCCUGAUCCAGCCAUGCCGCGUGAGCGAUGAAGGCCUUAGGGUUGUAAAGCUCUUUCAGCGGGGAAGAUAAUGACGGUACCCGCAGAAGAAGCCCCGGCUAACUCCGUGCCAGCAGCCGCGGUAAUACGGAGGGGGCUAGCGUUGUUCGGAAUUACUGGGCGUAAAGCGCACGUAGGCGGAUCGUUUAGUCGGGGGUGAAAUCCCGGGGCUCAACCCCGGAACGGCCUUCGAUACUGGCGGUCUGGAGUCCGAGAGAGGUGAGUGGAACUCCGAGUGUAGAGGUGAAAUUCGUAGAUAUUCGGAAGAACACCAGUGGCGAAGGCGGCUCACUGGCUCGGUACUGACGCUGAGGUGCGAAAGCGUGGGGAGCAAACAGGAUUAGAUACCCCCGUAGUCC
rnacentral:rRNA from 1 species